rnacentral:lncRNA from 1 species
GUUUUCCUGGUGCAGCCAGGAAUCUGGAGUUGACAUCCUCUAUGGUGACGAUGUCACCAACGUUGGAAAGUUGGGCUUCCCAGGCCAGUGGAGUGGCUAAGGGGCUGCAUCUCUAGGAGGGGAAUCUCUCCUGACCCCCCAAGAGGAGCUUAUUUCCCAGGAGUGUGCCUGUGAGUUAAUUUCCAAGGCCAAUGUCUUUUCUCCACAGAUUCUUUUUAUUGCCAUGGAGACAGUCUGCUGCUCCGUCCAAUGGAGAGUCUGAGCAGCGGGCACCAUGACAACCUGUGGGGGUGGGAAGGACAGUUCCAAAGCACCUCACAGACCAGAGCAAGAACAGAGACAUGUGAUUGUCACAAGGGCGGCUGAUGAAAGGGGGCACCUUGACUCUUUGCUGCCUUCCUCUCUGGGAGCAGUGAGCUGGGAUGGGUGUGAUGGAAACCACCCACCCCUCCCAGGAUGAUGGGAACAAAGGACUUGCUACCAAGCUGAAGUAAAGCAAGUCGUGAUUGCCCUGCUGGGACAUCCGGCUUAUCCAAUGGAGAUGGAUCAAUGGAGGAAACUGUAAUUGAACAAGACACUUCUGGAAGGAGGAAGAGCCAGAACAACUGAUGGGCUCUGGCGGUCACUCUACAACCAGAGGAGAGAGACCCAACAGUGUAUUGUCAGAUGACAGGUUAGCCAUGCCUGGGAAGACAGCUGAGUGUGCAGACUCCCUCCCUGUCUCCUGGGCGACGAAGCCUCCAGAUGACCUGCCAACGAUAAUGAGAACACCAACAGUCGGGGCCUCUUCACUCUCCUCGUGGUCCUCUUGGGAAGAACUUGAGAUGCUGCAGCCUGGCUUCCCCUCUGCUGAGCGGCAAACACCUGUUCCGUGGAAAAUCCUCAACCCUCCAGCAAGCCCUGGGAAGGCAGGUCCCCUGUCCUGUGGCCACAGGCGGCUUCACUUUCUCAGGCCUGAGUUAGGGAGAGUCGAGGAUCUCCCUGCAGCUGCAGAGAACACACACCCAGCUCUCCAGUGUGCCCUGGGAGCCCCUCUCAGGAUUCACGGGUUCUGUUGGAAAGUGGCGUCCUGUCCUCUCCCUGGAGAUGGAGUGAGAAAGGAUCGGCGUUCUCCAAAGAAAUCGCAUAAAUCCUCCCAGUACGGCUCUUGGAUAAUACACUUCCCCCCUCCAUGAUAUUGAAUGUAUCUUAGUAUUAUUAAACAUUUACUUUCCAUUAC